rnacentral:rRNA from 1 species
AUUGAACGCUGGCGGCAUGCUUUACACAUGCAAGUCGAACGGUAACAGGGAGCUUGCUCCGCUGACGAGUGGCGAACGGGUGAGUAAUGCGUCGGAACGUGCCGAGUAAUGGGGGAUAACGCAUCGAAAGGUGUGCUAAUACCGCAUACGUACUGAGGUAGAAAGUGGGGGACCUUCGGGCCUCACGCUCUACGAGCGGCCGACGUCUGAUUAGCUAGUUGGUGAGGUAAAGGCUCACCAAGGCGACGAUCAGUAGCGGGUCUGAGAGGAUGAUCCGCCACACUGGGACUGAGACACGGCCCAGACUCCUACGGGAGGCAGCAGUGGGGAAUUUUGGACAAUGGGCGCAAGCCUGAUCCAGCCAUGCCGCGUGUCUGAAGAAGGCCUUCGGGUUGCAAAGGACUUUUGUCCGGGAGCAAAUACCCAGUGCUAAUAACGCUGGGGGCUGAGAGUACCGGAAGAAUAAGCACCGGCUAACUACGUGCCAGCAGCCGCCGUAACAC